CAGAGGGGCAAAGGCGGUGGGGGAGCUGGGUGGGGGCCAGGGCAGGCUCCUGGAUCAGCAGGUGGCAGGAGCUCCAAGGGGCUGUGAGGGUCACCUUCCCUCCCCAAGCCCGGAAUUGCCCAAAGGCCUAUUGCUACCUCACAGGCGAACCUGAUGGCCGGAGGGGAUGCCAUUUGCACGGAUGACCCCGACUCCCUCCUGUCCCCAGAGCAACGGAUGCUUUGCUGAACCUGGGAGGUGACAUCGCCUGCCCGUCAGGAGCACACCUGGCUGGGGGAGUGGGAGGGGGACGCCAGAAGAGCCUGUGGUGGGUCCCCAUGGCCCCCCAAGGGUGCCCCUACCCGAAGGGCAGAAGGCCUCCUAGAGCAGGGGAGGCCUGGGGAGGGAGGGACCCUUCCCCCGGAAGUCAGUGGGCUUUUUCUGGCACCUCCUUUACCCACAUCCACAAGCCUCCCCCAGGAAAACCAUCUAGAGAAGCGGACCUCAGGCCAGCUGCCUUCUUGCAAGGCCUUCCCAGCAGGGCGUGGGGGUCCUGGCAUAUAGAGCCCUGGUGAGGGCAGGGCUGGGGAGCUGAGCUGAGCUGGGCAGCCAACUGGGGGCACUGCAGUGGCCCAGCAGGGACCACGGGCAGUGGGCUGUGUAUAGGCGCUGACCCUGUAUUUUAAAAGGAGACUCUAACCACUGGGAGUACAGUUUGGUGGCUGGAAGUGGGGCCAGGAGGAAGCAGAAAGUUCCUGUCUGGGCUGCUCCAGAGAGGGUCCCAGCAAGUUCAUGUGCUAACCUUCUGAACUGUGCCUGGGUGUUGGAGGGAGGGUGGCCGCAGCCUGUAUCUGGGUGAGAGUUGUUUCCAGGCAUCUAAGGAAUGACAAGAGAAAGGCCACAGAUCUAGGGGCCUAGGGGGCCUGCUCCCAUGUGUUGUCAGGCUGGAGGCCAGCUUAGAGGGACACGGAGGUGACAACAGUACUGGCACACCCAGGGGGCCCUGGGAGGCUUCACUAAGGGUCAGCUUUAGGUCUGACAACCUGCCAUCAGUGUGUUUCAUGUCGCAUACCUCAUCACCCCACUGAGUUAUCUUGGAGGAAACCAAACUGAUGAAACGCUGUUCUAAGGAAAAGGGCCCACCUGGGAACAGGUGGCUUCAGCACGCGCACUGAAGGACCUUCGUCCCACGGGCUUGGGUGAGUGUGUUGAGAAUGGCAGCCCUGGUCAUCGGCGUGGCUCUGCCUGGACCAAAGGCACUCUGACAGUUUUAACGGCCGCGACAGACAUCACCCAAAGCCGGGAUGGUGAGCAGUGACGCCACCCAGAGAACCACGCCGCGCCGCGUCUGCAAUGGCGAGAGAGACGGGAGACGGGAGAGCCGCGCACUCAGGCCGAUAUGGCAGGAAUCUACAAGCCCUCCCGCUAAUUGAUGGGCUCCCCAUAUAUCAUCCUAGAUAAAGGGCCCCUGGGCAGUAAAUGCUGAUGCUUAGAACAUCCUGAUAGGGCUUUGUUAACAAGAAGAUAACAGGAGAGCAAGAUAUGUUUGUUUAGCUGCCUAUAGAUAAACCCAAUAGGUCUUCGUUAACUUUUCAUGACUGAUGGCAACCACUAACCAUGAUAAAUAAUCCUGCAGCAGGGAACUUUAUUUAAAGCACCAGAAAUGGGGCCUCCGUUUUUAGCUCUUUUGAAUAAGGAGUAUUUUCCCUGUGUGAGUACACGUUAUGUCAUAGUUAAAUAAUUUUAAACCAUUGACUGAACAUCUGAACCAAGUGGACCUUUGGAACUUUUUCCAGGUGUGCUGUGUUCCAAUCACACAAAAACUGAGCAAGUCUGAGGAACUGGAUUUCACAGAGUAGCCUUCAAGGGAAUGCGACACAAACUUUUUUUUUUUUCCUAGCAGCUACAAAGAGGUAAAAAUGUGCUUUUCAGUACUUGUGAGGAAUAUGGUGGCCGGAGUUUGGGUACCAAGCUUUCACCAUGUGGGAAGUUGCAAAGUGUUACCCUCAAUUGAUGGUUGAGUAAAGAUUUAUCUUUCAAAACUGAGGAGGGAGGAGGGAAGGAGUCUGACCUGCCAUUAUCUUCCCUAACCUGCCGACUAAUCGAUUUUGAUGGAAGAAGUGACACUGAGUUAACCAGAUUUGCCACCAGGAAAUGGACAUCUCGGGUGA